GAUGAACGCUGGCGGCGUGCCUAAUACAUGCAAGUCGAGCGAACAGAUGAGGAGCUUGCUCCUCUGACGUUAGCGGCGGACGGGUGAGUAACACGUGGAUAACCUACCUAUAAGACUGGGAUAACUUCGGGAAACCGGAGCUAAUACCGGAUAAUAUAUUGAACCGCAUGGUUCAAUAGUGAAAGACGGUUUUGCUGUCACUUAUAGAUGGAUCCGCGCCGCAUAAGCUAGUUGGUAAGGUAACGGCUUACCAAGGCAACGAUGCGUAGCCGACCUGAGAGGGUGAUCGGCCACACUGGAACUGAGACACGGUCCAGACUCCUACGGGAGGCAGCAGUAGGGAAUCUUCCGCAAUGGGCGAAAGCCUGACGGAGCAACGCCGCGUGAGUGAUGAAGGUCUUCGGAUCGUAAAACUCUGUUAUUAGGGAAGAACAAAUGUGUAAGUAACUAUGCACGUCUUGACGGUACCUAAUCAGAAAGCCACGGCUAACUACGUG
rnacentral:rRNA from 1 species